AGACACGUACGCAAAAUUAGACAAUAUUAGUAAGAUUCUUCAGGAGGUUCGUUUCAUUAUUUAAGGACCGAAUCAUUUCUCUUUUUCAUCAGAGCUGUGAGUGACUCACUGUGCGCGGAUCGAGUUCUAUAACAGAGUCAUCUUCUUCACUCUUCACUUUCCAGCUAUGGCUUCAGUACACAGUACCUUGAUGUCGGUCGUGUGCAACAACAAAAACCACUCAGCUUGGCCCAAACUUCCAAACUCCUCCUUAUUACCUGGAUUCGAUGUGUCUGUUGUUCAAGCUGCUGCAGUUCGGUCCAAGAAGGAGACAACAAGCACACGAGCCACGUUGACGUUUGAUCCCCCAACGACUAACUCAGAGAGAGCCAAGCAGAGAAAACACACCAUCGAUCCUUCUUCUCCUGAUUUUCAGCCAAUCCCAUCUUUUGAGGAAUGCUUUCCUAAGAGCACUAAAGAACACAGUGAAAUCGUUCAUGAAGAAACUGGCCAUGUCCUUAAAGUUCCUUUUAGACGUGUGCAUUUGUCUGGUGGUGAGCCAGCUUUUGACGCAUAUGACACUAGUGGUCCUCAAAACGUUAACCCACACGUUGGACUUGCUAAGCUAAGGAAGGAGUGGAUUGAUCGCCGUGAAAAGCUGGGAACACCAAGAUGCACACAAAUGUACUAUGCUAAACAAGGAAUCAUAACCGAGGAAAUGCUAUAUUGUGCUGCAAGGGAGAAAAUGGACCCUGAGUUUGUAAGAUCAGAAGUUGCUCGAGGCAGGGCCAUUAUCCCUUCCAACAAGAAGCAUUUGGAGCUGGAGCCGAUGAUUGUUGGUAGGAAGUUCUUGGUCAAGGUCAAUGCGAACAUCGGAAACUCAGCUGUGGCAAGCUCCAUUGAAGAAGAAGUCUACAAGGUUCAGUGGGCAACAAUGUGGGGAGCUGAUACAAUCAUGGAUCUCUCAACUGGUCGUCACAUCCACGAGACACGCGAGUGGAUCCUAAGGAACUCAGCUGUUCCUGUUGGUACGGUCCCCAUUUAUCAAGCGCUUGAGAAAGUGGAUGGAAUCGCUGAGAAUCUUAGCUGGGAAGUGUUCAGAGAGACUCUGAUUGAACAAGCUGAGCAAGGUGUUGACUACUUCACAAUCCAUGCUGGAGUUUUGCUGCGUUACAUUCCUUUAACAGCCAAGCGUAUGACCGGGAUCGUUUCUCGUGGAGGAUCCAUCCAUGCUAAAUGGUGCUUGGCUUACCACAAGGAGAACUUUGCUUACGAGCACUGGGAUGAUAUUCUAGACAUCUGUAACCAGUAUGAUGUGGCUCUUUCGAUUGGGGAUGGUUUGAGACCUGGCUCGAUCUAUGAUGCUAACGACACUGCUCAGUUUGCAGAGCUCCUUACUCAAGGUGAACUUACUCGCCGAGCAUGGGAAAAAGAUGUCCAGGUGAUGAAUGAAGGUCCAGGGCAUGUCCCAAUGCACAAGAUUCCAGAGAAUAUGCAGAAGCAAUUGGAAUGGUGUAACGAGGCACCAUUCUACACACUUGGUCCUUUAACUACUGAUAUUGCUCCUGGAUAUGAUCACAUUACCUCUGCCAUUGGAGCUGCCAAUAUUGGAGCCUUGGGAACAGCUCUUCUUUGCUAUGUAACACCAAAAGAGCACCUUGGUUUACCAAACAGGGACGAUGUGAAGGCCGGGGUUAUAGCGUACAAGAUCGCUGCUCAUGCAGCUGAUCUAGCCAAACAGCAUCCACAUGCUCAGGCAUGGGAUGAUGCGCUGAGCAAAGCGAGGUUUGAGUUUAGAUGGAUGGAUCAGUUUGCUCUGUCGUUGGACCCAAUGACAGCUAUGUCUUUCCAUGAUGAAACUCUUCCAGCUGAUGGAGCCAAGGUUGCACACUUUUGCUCCAUGUGUGGACCAAAGUUCUGCUCCAUGAAGAUAACCGAAGACAUCCGAAAGUAUGCAGAGGAGAAUGGUUAUGGCACUGCUGAAGAAGCCGUCAGACGAGGAAUGGAGGCUAUGAGUGAAGAGUUCAAUGUCGCAAAGAAAACCAUUAGCGGAGAGCAGCAUGGUGAAGUAGGCGGAGAAAUCUAUUUGCCAGAGAACUAUGUCAAGGCUGCUUUGAAAUAAAUGGGAGGGAAUGGGUUGAGAAAAAGACCUUCGCUUAAUCAAGUCUUGUUGCCUGUUGGACUAUACCUGAAUAAGGCACAAAGUGUUGGGGUGCUUGAACCAGGAUAGCCUUUGCGCGGGGCUAUCCAGGACCAGGCUGAGAAAGUCCCUUUGAACCUGAACAGGGUAAUGCCUGCGCAGGGAGUGUGCAGUUUUUUUUUCUUCUUUCUGUAGCUUUCUUUAGGAGAAGAAGCUUCUACUGUUGCUGCUCUCCCGAGAGUCUCGGUCCAUGGUUGAGCUAAGAAAUUCAGCUUCGUUGACUUCCAGCCAUUGAAAAAAAGUCUUAACUAAUGCACUAAGUCACUAACAGUAAAGAAUGCCAAAGUCUUUUGAAUCUUAAAAGGGAAAAAUGCAAAAUCAAUCUGCUCUCU